GCUUCGGUAACUGACCUAGCGGCGGACGGGUGAGUAAUACUUAGGAAUCUGCCUAUUAAUGGGGGACAACAUCUCGAAAGGGAUGCUAAUACCGCAUACGCCCUACGGGGGAAAGCAGGGGAUCACUUGUGACCUUGCGUUAAUAGAUGAGCCUAAGUCGGAUUAGCUAGUUGGUGGGGUAAAGGCCUACCAAGGCGACGAUCUGUAGCGGGUCUGAGAGGAUGAUCCGCCACACUGGGACUGAGACACGGCCCAGACUCCUACGGGAGGCAGCAGUGGGGAAUAUUGGACAAUGGGGGGAACCCUGAUCCAGCCAUGCCGCGUGUGUGAAGAAGGCCUUAUGGUUGUAAAGCACUUUAAACGAGGAGGAGGCUCUCUUGGUUAAUACCCAAGAUGAGUGGACGUUACUCGCAGAAUAAGCACCGGCUAACUCUGUGCCAGCAGCCGCGGUAAUACAGAGGGUGCGAGCGUUAAUCGGAUUUACUGGGCGUAAAACGUGCGUAGGCGGCUUUUUAAGUCGGAUGUGAAANCCCCGAGCUUAACUUGGGAAUUGCAUUCGAUACUGGGAAGCUAGAGUAUGGGAGAGGAUGGUAGAAUUCCAGGUGUAGCGGUGAAAUGCGUAGAGAUCUGGAGGAAUACCGAUGGCGAAGGCAGCCAUCUGGCCUAAUACUGACGCUGAGGUACGAAAGCAUGGGGAGCAAACAGGAUUAGAUACCCUGGUAGUCCAUGCCGUAAACGAUGUCUACUAGCCGUUGGGGCCUUUGAGGCUUUAGUGGCGCAGCUAACGCGAUAAGUAGACCGCCUGGGGAGUACGGUCGCAGGACUAAAACUCAAAUGAAUUGACGGGGGCCCGCACAAGCGGUGGAGCAUGUGGUUUAAUUCGAUGCAACGCGAAGAACCUUACCUGGUCUUGACAUAGUAAGAACUUUCCAGAGAUGGAUUGGUGCCUUCGGGAACUUACAUACAGGUGCUGCAUGGCUGUCGUCAGCUCGUGUCGUGAGAUGUUGGGUUAAGUCCCGCAACGAGCGCAACCCUUUUCCUUAUUUGCCAGCACUUCGGGUGGGAACUUUAAGGAUACUGCCAGUGACAAACUGGAGGAAGGCGGGGACGACGUCAAGUCAUCAUGGCCCUUACGACCAGGGCUACACACGUGCUACAAUGGUCGGUACAAAGGGUUGCUACCUAGCGAUAGGAUGCUAAUCUCAAAAAGCCGAUCGUAGUCCGGAUUGGAGUCUGCAACUCGACUCCAUGAAGUCG
rnacentral:rRNA from 1 species